UACGGGGGGGGGCAAGCGUUGUUCGGAAUUACUGGGCGUAAAGGGCUCGUAGGCGGCCAACUAAGUCAGACGUGAAAUCCCCAGGCUCAACCUGGGAACUGCGUCUGAUACUGGUUGGCUUGAAUCCGGGAGAGGGAUGCAGAAUUCCAGGUGUAGCGGUGAAAUGCGUAGAUAUCUGGAGGAAUACCGGUGGCGAAGGCGGCAUCCUGGACCGGCAUUGACGCUGAGGAGCGAAAGCUAGGGGAGCAAACGGGG
rnacentral:rRNA from 1 species